UACGUAGGGGGCAAGCGUUAUCCGGAAUUACUGGGCGUAAAGCGCAUGCAGGUGGUUUGUUAAGUCAGAUGUGAAAGCCCGGGGCUCAACCUCGGAAUUGCAUUUGAAACUGGCAGGCUAGAGUACUGUAGAGGGGGGUAGAAUUUCAGGUGUAGCGGUGAAAUGCGUAGAGAUCUGAAGGAAUACCGGUGGCGAAGGCGGCCCCCUGGACAGAUACUGACACUCAGAUGCGAAAGCGUGGGGAGCAAACAGGAUUAGAUACCCUGGUAGUCCACGCCGUAAACGAUGUCUACUUGGAGGUUGUGGCCUUGAGCCGUGGCUUUCGGAGCUAACGCGUUAAGUAGACCGCCUGGGGAGUACGGUCGCAAGAUUAAA
rnacentral:rRNA from 1 species